UACGUAGGGUGCAAGCGUUGUCCGGAAUUAUUGGGCGUAAAGAGCUCGUAGGCGGUCUGUCGCGUCUGCUGUGAAAAUCCAGGGCUCAACCCUGGACCUGCAGUGGGUACGGGCAGACUGGAGUUCGGCAGGGGAGACUGGAAUUCCUGGUGUAGCGGUGAAAUGCGCAGAUAUCAGGAGGAACACCGGUGGCGAAGGCGGGUCUCUGGGCCGAUACUGACGCUGAGGAGCGAAAGCGUGGGGAGCGAACAGG
rnacentral:rRNA from 1 species